rnacentral:pre_miRNA from 1 species
GAUGAAAUUGCAGGGUCAAAUGGUAACUUUGAGUUUUUGAAGAAUGGCCAAACUCUUUUCUACAGCUAUUGUACCAUUCCAUAUUCCUACCAGCGAU